UUUUUUUUUUUUUUUUUUUUUUUAUGGGAUAUGGGUGUAUCCCAAAUGGAAAAACUUAAAAACCUAUCAAGAAAGGCCCUUAAAGUAUAUAUUUAAUAAAUGGGGUGGGGGGUGGGUAGGGCGAUAUACAUGCUCUGCCGGUGAGCAAUCGAAAAUGGAAUUUGAGAGACAGCUUCUUAGCAGAGGGGAAGAAUUUGCCAAGUGUGAUGCUUUGCUGUCAUUUUAUAUAUAACUACUAACCCCACAUAUGGUCUGGUUAGUCUUUUUUUUUAAAAGGAAGUGAACCAAUUACUUACAAUUAAUUAGCAGUGCCAGAAGUAAAUUCUUUGGCCAGAACUCUUUUUUUUUUUCCCCCCAACCACUCAAAAUACACCGAUGUUGAUCAUUUCUAUUUCCAGCACCAGGGUUCCUUUUCUCAGGGAAGAUAAAUAUCUUUCUUUAAAAUAUUUUUUUAAGCCCCUAUAGUCACAUCCUAAAACGCAAUCCCAAAGACGCUCUUCAACAAACAAGAAACUUCAUUUAACUUAACCAAAACAAAUGACUUGGAGCAUUGCUACAAAACAAACUAUGAGCAAGUGGAACCAGGUUGAGCCUCCACAUUCGGUGUAGCCUCGCUCUACAUGUUAAUGGAUAACCUUUGAACUCUGAAACCUUGAAUGCUGUAAACACAAUGGCACUGAUAGUUAAAAAUUCUAGUGUCAAAAUUGGGCAAAAAGAAAAAAAAAAUCCAAACUUUGCAGGAGGGGGAUAGGCAAACAAUCAAAUGUUUUGACAAAUAAUCACUCACUAAGAACAAUGAGGCUUCUGGCUCUCAGACCUUGUUGCUACUGAAUUAUUUUCUGAGCAAAAACGGUUGUGCUUUCUCUCUCUCUCUCUCUGCUCUUACAAAGCUACCACUUUGUUAGCAUAAUAGCAUCCUAUGGUUUGUUAGUUACUGUUUCUCUCUCCUCACCCUAACCCCACCCCACCCCCAAAAGAAGAACCUUAUUAUGUUGUAGCUUUUAAAAUUGAAAGAUAAUUGUAUGAGCUGAUCUAUCUGCUAAGAGUUUUAUAUGUGAUCCUUAUGUUUGAGCAAAGAAUUACAAAGAACCUUAUUCCUGGAGACGUGCCAAUAAAACUGGGAAAUCGUUGCAAAAAAUUCUGCCCGUGACUGAGUGCUGGGUUACAAACACAUACUGUGUUUUUAAAUGGACACACAGUGAUAUGAAUUUGCUAAGGGCGUCCGUGGGACACACACUCUCCCCUUAGAAUGUGACGACUCAUACUUUUAAGAUUUACUUGGGAAGCAUGCCCAGUUAAAACCCUGAAAAAUGGAAACUCCAAAAGUAAAGAACACUAGGAACGUUUAGUUUUGUAGUAAAAAGCUCAGAACUCCUUAUUAUUCCAUGAAAUGAAAAUUGAAAGCCCAGCGUUAGUCAGUCUACGGAUACUUAGCUCCACCCACGAGUAAUCCUGUUUUGCCAUCACCCCCAGCUAGACUAUCUCUAAAGGAGUCAGGUGCUGCAGAGACGCUGGCAACAAACAAAGGAUAGAACCAGAAAUGUCCCUUCGAAUGGAAGCUGAUGCUCUGCACAUGUUAACCAGAGAAAGGGCGGAAAGAAGCCCCACUUCGCCUCCCCUUAAUGCGACAAACAUCAGCUACACCUCGUUUUUCACAAUUAUCCAAACAGACCAGCCCUCCUUAAGAUCUAUUUCCCAGGGUACGCUUAGAAAAUCGCACUAUUAUCUCUGAUUUAAUCCUCGUGAUAGGAGACCUCUUCCUCUGCUAACUUCUGAUUUUCUCUCCAGAUGCUGCCUGCCACACACAGCCUUCUCAGAUCUCAUAACAAAACAAAACAAAACAAAAAGCCCUCCUAAUUUGCUACAUUUAACAUUUAUUGGGAUCAUCUUUGGAGACUUAGCCUUCAUUAGAAGAACAAUGCGAUAUGAUCCUCCUAUUUCACAAGUUAUUUUAUGUUACUGUGGAACUCUUACAAGAAAGACAGUUUGGAAACUGCACGUAAAUCCCUGGAGCUGAAAUGGAGCCAACAUAGAUACUCGACUUAAAAAGAAUUCAGUGUUCAGGGCAGGAAAACCCGAAAACUGCAAGUGAGGAGUCAGCAGGAAAAGAAAAUGAAAAAGUUAGGCAAACCUGCCAGCUCUUGCUAACUACAAAGGACAUUUGAGAAGGAAACGGGGACAGCCCUUUUAACACGACUGAAUGCAUUAAAUUAAGUGGGGAUCACCAACAAGUCCAGGGAAUGCUACACUCCUCUCUUCUCUAUCAGGUUUCUUGAUCCCACUCCGAGUCAUCUCGAAAUUUGAAGCCCUCCAUAAAACAUCAUCGUGUAAUAUAUGAUAAAAAUAAAUUGCAGAAGUCACCUUUCAGAAGUGGAGGCAGUGCCCGGGGCCUGGAGACUCUCUCUCCCUCGGAGUUGCCAGUCCACUUGGCUCAGAACAAUACUGUAAGAGAUGAGACUGCUGGUUUUUACAAGCAAACUGGAAAGGGAGGGGCCAAGCAUAAGGCUCAAUUUAAAUCGAGGAUUAGACACAAUUGCGACUUGAUU
rnacentral:lncRNA from 1 species